UGCUGGGGUAGCUCAGUUGGUAGAGCAUGAGGCUCUUUAUCUCAGGGUCAUGGGUUUGAGCCCCUGUUGGGCAA